rnacentral:rRNA from 1 species
UACGUAGGGGGCAAGCGUUGUCCGGAAUCAUUGGGCGUAAAGAGCGCGUAGGCGGCCCAGUAAGUCCGCUCUGAAAGUCAGGGGCUCAACCCCUGGAUGCGGGUGGAUACUGCUGGGCUAGAGUCCGGAAGAGGCGAGUGGAAUUCCUGGUGUAGCGGUGAAAUGCGCAGAUAUCAGGAGGAACACCGAUGGCGAAGGCAGCUCGCUGGGACGGUACUGACGCUGAGACGCGAAAGCGUGGGGAGCAAACAGG